GGCGGACGGGUGAGUAAUAUAUAGGUAAUGUGCCCUAGAGAGGGGGAUAACAGUUGGAAACGACUGCUAACACCCCAUAUGCCUUUAAGACAAAAGUCUGCAAGGGAAAUAUUUAUAGCUCUAGGAUCGGCCUGUACGGUAUCAGCUAGUUGGUGAGGUAAUGGCUCACCAAGGCAAUGACGCCUAACUGGUUUGAGAGGAUGAUCAGUCACACUGGAACUGAGACACGGUCCAGACUCCUACGGGAGGCAGCAGUGGGGAAUAUUGCACAAUGGGGGAAACCCUGAUGCAGCAACGCCGUGUGGAGGAUGACACAUUUCGGUGCGUAAACUCCUUUUAUAUAGGAAGAUAAUGACGGUACUAUAUGAAUAAGCGCCGGCUAACUCCGUGCCAGCAGCCGCGGUAAUACGGAGGGCGCAAGCGUUACUCGGAAUCACUGGGCGUAAAGAGCGUGUAGGCGGGUUAAUAAGUUUGAAGUGAAAUCCUAUGGCUCAACCAUAGAACUGCUUUGAAAACUGUUAACCUAGAAUAUGGGAGAGGUAGAUGGAAUUUCUGGUGUAGGGGUAAAAUCCGUAGAGAUCAGAAGGAAUACCGAUUGCGAAGGCGAUCUACUGGAACAUUAUUGACGCUGAGACGCGAAAGCGUGGGGAGCAAACAGGAUUAGAUACCCUGGUAGUCCACGCCCUAAACGAUGUACACUAGUUGUUGUGAGGCUAGACCUUGCAGUAAUGCAGUAAACACAUUAAGUG
rnacentral:rRNA from 1 species